rnacentral:rRNA from 1 species
UACAGGGGGGUGCAAGCGUUGUUCGGAAUUAUUGGGCGUAAAGAGCUCGUAGGCGGUUUGUCGCGUCUGCUGUGAAAACGCGAGGCUCAACCUCGCGCCUGCAGUGGGUACGGGCAGACUAGAGUGCGGUAGGGGAGAUUGGAAUUCCUGGUGUAGCGGUGGAAUGCGCAGAUAUCAGGAGGAACACCGAUGGCGAAGGCAGAUCUCUGGGCCGUAACUGACGCUGAGGAGCGAAAGCGUGGGGAGCGAACAGG